GCCGGCCCCAAAUUUUUGGGAUAAGGCUUAGUUGAGUUGAGUAAAUAUAUGUAUAGGUAAUUCGUUAAGUCAUCAACUUAUCAGCUGCAUGCAAAUCAUGGUUUAACUGAAAAUUUCAUCUUUUAUCAAUGAUUUUUCAAUAUUCUAUAUAGCUUCUGGAAUUUUUCUGAAUAAACAAGUUUGCUCUUUCCAUUGCCUCAAAU
rnacentral:misc_RNA from 1 species